rnacentral:rRNA from 1 species
UAUUACACUAAAAGGUAAUAAUAAAGGAGGCCUGAUUAUUUAUAGUUAUUUUCUUGAAAAUUGAAGAAUUUGGCGGUGAUUUAGUCUUGUCAGAGGAAUUUGUUUUUUAAUCGAUAAACCACGCAAUAUCUUACUCAUUUUUGUUUUCAGCUUAUAUACCGUCAUUAUCAGAUAAUCUUACAAAAAGGUAAUUAUUGAAUUUUAUAAAUAGUGGAAAUUAGAUCAAGGUGUAGCUAAUAAAUGAGUUAAAAUGAAUUACAAUAAGUUUUAUUUAUAGACGGAUUUAUUAAUGAAAAUUAAUAAUAAAGGUGGAUUUGAUUGUAAUAAGAGUUUAAUAAGCUUGAAAGAUAUAGGUUCUAAAUCAU